rnacentral:rRNA from 1 species
CCUACGGGUGGCAGCAGUGGGGAAUAUUGCGCAAUGAGCGAAAGCCUGACGCAGCGACGCCGCGUGAGGGAUGAAGGUCUUCGGAUCGUAAACUUCUGUCAGCAGGGAAGAACAUUCACUGUGCUAAUCAAUAGUGAAUUGACGGUACCUUCACAGGAAGCGCCGGCUAACUCCGUGCCAGCAGCCGCGGUAAUACAGAGGGUGCCAGCGUUAAUGGGAAUUACUGGGGGUAAAGCGGUCGUAGGCGGUAUGACAAGUCAAGGGUGAAAUCCCCGGGCUCAACGUGGGAACUGCUUUUGAAACUGGCAAACUGGAGUGUGUGAGAGGUAAGUGGAAUUCCAGGUGUAGGGGUGAAAUCCGUAGAUAUCUGGAGGAACACCAGGGGCGAAGGCGACUAGCUGGAACAUUACUGACGCUGAGGAGCGAAAGCGUGGGGAGCAAACAGGAUUAGAUACCCCUGUAGUC